UUAAAUAACCCAAAACCAAAAAGCAGGAGGAUACGCAGUGUUGCGCAUUGAGAGGCUUUUUUAAGACAUAGAGACUGAAUUUGCAGAGAAUCCUCUAAGUUUACACGGAACGUGUAAGAUACUUUUUUUCGGUUUUGCGUGAGCUGAAAUCCUCUGUUGUGAUACAGUUUAGCAUAGCUUGCUAGGUAACAGCAGACGGGCUCACAAACAUCGCUGGGCUUGGACACUGUCUCCUUCUUUCGGGGGUUAUUUCAGUAUAUGUAUUUCUGGGGGUAGCCGGAUAGGCACGCUUCGCAGAAAGGCCCUAACCACUUGACGGAGUUGUUCUUGUUGAGGUGCUGACUGACUAACGCCACCUUGUUCCCCUGACAAAGCAGCCCGUUUGUUCCUUGAGUCCCCAUUCACCUGCUGGCUUAGCAGUUUAGAGCCACUUAAAACUUCUCCUUGGGACCCGGGUGCUCUUGCCGCGCUCUCCUGCUGUCAAAGCUGGCGAUGUCAAGAGUACCGAGCCCUCCUCCCCCCGCGGAAAUGUCAAGCGGGCCCGUGGCUGAGAGCUGGUGUUACACUCAGAUUAAAGUCGUCAAGUUCUCCUACAUGUGGACGAUCAACAACUUCAGCUUCUGCCGUGAGGAAAUGGGUGAAGUCAUCAAGAGCUCAACGUUCUCCUCGGGAGCCAACGACAAGCUUAAAUGGUGUUUGCGAGUGAACCCCAAGGGCCUGGAUGAGGAGAGCAAAGACUACUUGUCUCUGUAUUUACUCCUGGUCAGCUGUCCAAAGGCGGAAGUCCGUGCCAAAUUUAAGUUCUCCAUCCUCAAUGCCAAGGGAGAGGAGACCAAAGCCAUGGAGAGCCAGAGGGCCUACCGCUUCGUUCAGGGCAAGGACUGGGGCUUCAAGAAGUUUAUCCGCCGAGAUUUCCUGCUGGACGAGGCCAACGGGCUGCUCCCCGAUGACAAGCUCACUCUCUUCUGUGAGGUGAGUGUCGUCCAGGACUCUGUCAACAUCUCGGGUCAGAACACCAUGAACAUGGUGAAGGUACCUGACUGCCGGCUAGCGGACGAGCUGGGCGGGCUGUGGGAGAACUCGCGCUUCACGGAUUGCUCUCUGUGCGUGGCUGGCCAGGAGUUCCAGGCUCACAAGGCCAUCCUAGCAGCUCGCUCGCCUGUCUUCAGCGCCAUGUUCGAGCACGAGAUGGAGGAGAGCAAGAAGAACCGUGUGGAGAUCAACGAUGUGGAGCCAGAGGUUUUCAAAGAGAUGAUGUGCUUCAUCUACACUGGCAAGGCGCCCAAUCUUGACAAAAUGGCAGAUGACCUGCUAGCUGCAGCAGACAAGUACGCUCUGGAGCGCCUGAAGGUCAUGUGCGAGGACGCCUUGUGCAACAGCCUGUCGGUGGAGAAUGCGGCGGAGAUCCUCAUCCUGGCUGACCUCCACAGCGCCGACCAGCUAAAGACGCAGGCCGUCGAUUUUAUCAACUAUCACGCAGCCGAGGUGAUGGAGACCACGGGUUGGAAGUCCAUGGUAGCUUCGCACCCCCACCUGGUGGCUGAAGCCUACCGGUCCCUGGCCUCCGCACAAUGCCCCUUCCUGGGCCCCCCACGGAAGCGACUGAAACAGUCAUAGUGAUCACUGUCACCUCAUUGGAUCGUCCACCCACCCACCAACUCUUUACAACCAAUCGAUCUGUUGACUCCGUCCCCAGCCCCGCACACCCCAACUUCAAUCUCAUACAAGGGGAACAUUGAACCAGGAUGAGAGCGGCGGCAUCCAAAGCCGACUUCACCAGUGCAUUUCCAGGCCUGACAGCUGCCGGUUGUGCCUUUGCUGCAUGGAGCGAGAUGACCGAAGGAGUACCAACCAGUGGCUGGCAUGGCGGCCAGGGGACUUUCAGCAAAAAAAAAAGACGGGUAUAUCGCCAUAUUUGCAGCAUCUAAAAGCGAAUACGAUUAGUUAUUUAUAUAAUCUUUUAAGACAUUUCAUGAACACUUCAGUCCCUCGUGUUUCCCUUUUUCAGAAUUAGCCAAUAAUGGACGUCAAUAACAAUGCUGGUUGUUGAUGUGGAAGUUUAAGUGUGAAACGAGGUGGAGAAAAGUGCUCUUUUGUAGGGGACCGAAAACUUGGAUGAAACAAGUUUCAGGAGAUACUAGCCUUAGACGGUCUUCAAAAUAGACAAGUAAGAGCACUGUUAUUUAUGUUAAAUAGUAAACACAUAUAAGAAUUGCACUAAUUUCCAUGUUUGCCCAGGUCUCAACUGUGUGUAUCCAGUGACUGUAAUUGCAGAGUGCUCUAAAACCACACAGAGGCCCUACAGCUUCAAGGAUCCCAUAACAGAAAUGGUGUUCGGGAAGAAGUAUGCAAGGACGCAUUUGGUUUACCUAGCUAGAGCUCUGUUUGGCUUGGGAAAGCAGCACUUGUGUAGGUUUCUUUGAAAAAGAAAAAUGGAAAAGGAGAGUGUCAAAAGAAAAGGGGGGGGGGGCUUCAGAUUUUUGUCAUGUAAGAUUUUGCCCUCUUGAUUUUCUUUUUGGAGUUAUAGAGGAAAGAAAACAUUUUUUAGCAGUUUGUAAAUUAUCAGUGUUUUAUAAAAUGUGUGAAGAAACCUUUUCAUCCUUGAAUUAACGAGAAAUGCAAGUUUUUAGUUUGGAGAAAAUGAACUGAAUGAACACGUUUUAAUGUUCGAAAUAUCCAAGCUAUUUAUUUAAGAAAAGUACAAAAAUCUCACCAUCUGAUGUUGCUCCUCCGUUUGUUUUUCUUUAGACGUUAGAUGGGACAUUGAAAUAGUUGUCAAAAAUGUUUUGUUCCUAAAGGAAUAAAUUGCAACUAUUUUGUA